GGUUGAAGUUCAGGUAACACUGAAUGGAGGACCGAACCGACUUACGUUGAAAAGUGAGCGGAUGAACUGAGGGUAGCGGAGAAAUUCCAAUCGAACCUGGAGAUAGCUGGUUCUCUCCGAAAUAGCUUUAGGGCUAGCCUCAAGUGAUGAUUAUUGGAGGUAGAGCACUGUUUGGACGAGGGGCCCCUCUCGGGUUACCGAAUUCAGACAAACUCCGAAUGCCAAUUAAUUUAACUUGGGAGUCAGAACAUGGGUGAUAAGGUCCGUGUUCGAAAGGGAAACAGCCCAGACCACCAGCUAAGGUCCCAAAAUAUAUGUUAAGUGGAAAAGGAUGUGGCGUUGCCCAGACAACUAGGAUGUUGGCUUAGAAGCAGCCAUCAUUUAAAGAGUGCGUAAUAGCUCACUAGUCGAGUGACACUGCGCCGAAAAUGUACCGGGGCUAAACAUAUUACCGAAGCUGUGGAUUGUCCUUUGGACAAUGGUAGGAGAGCGUUCUAAGGGCGUUGAAGCAUGAUCGUAAGGACAUGUGGAGCGCUUAGAAGUGAGAAUGCCGGUGUGAGUAGCGAAAGACGGGUGAGAAUCCCGUCCACCGAUUGACUAAGGUUUCCAGAGGAAGGCUCGUCCGCUCUGGGUUAGUCGGGUCCUAAGCUGAGGCCGACAGGCGUAGGCGAUGGAUAACAGGUUGAUAUUCCUGUACCACCUAUAAUCGUUUUAAUCGAUGGGGGGACGCAGUAGGAUAGGCGAAGCGUGCGAUUGGAUUGCACGUCUAAGCAGUAAGGCUGAGUAUUAGGCAAAUCCGGUACUCGUUAAGGCUGAGCUGUGAUGGGGAGAAGACAUUGUGUCUUCGAGUCGUUGAUUUCACACUGCCGAGA
rnacentral:rRNA from 1 species